rnacentral:rRNA from 1 species
AUGGCGAGUGGCGAACGGGUGAGUAAUGCAUCGGAACGUGCCCAAUCGUGGGGGAUAACGCAGCGAAAGCUGUGCUAAUACCGCAUACGAUCUCUGGAUGAAAGCGGGGGACUCGCAAGGGCCUCGCGCGAUUGGAGCGGCCGAUAUCAGAUUAGGUUGUUGGUGAGGUAAAAGCUCACCAAGCCGACGAUCUGUAGCUGGUCUGAGAGGACGACCAGCCACACUGGAACUGAGACACGGUCCAGACUCC